rnacentral:tRNA from 1 species
GAUUCCGUAGUACAGUGGUUAUCACGUGCGCCUAACACGCGCAAGGUCCCCGGUUCGAGCCCGGGCGGGAUCA